UUACUUACAUUUUUUUUCAAAACUUCUUUGUCUUCCAAAGCAAGUUGGCUGCUAAUAUGGAAGUUGUACAAGUGAUGUGAUCAGAAAAUGCAGACCUGUGAUAGCUGACGACGACACUGUGAGGGACAGCCCACAGGGCAGAGCACCCAGUCACACAGCCAGGUCUUACAGUAUCAUCCUUGGGACCAAGAACCAUCAAGCAAAAUAACACUCAUUUCUACUGCUGAACAUGUGAUGUCAGCAUUUCUUGGACAUACAUGCUAAGAACCAUGAACAUUAAGUUAAGGGUAGAGUUCACACCGACUACAGGGCAGUCACAGAAGCUCCAUGGAAGGUGUGGUGUGGCUGUCUGGAUGAGAAAGCAGCUAGACCCUUGACCCAUCAUCCAUCACCCUGCCUUCCGGUCAACUUUUGAUAGUCACCAAGACCCUGGGCUCAGAAACUCACCAAGAGCCUGUGUCACAUCUGACGCACUUCCUGUAUCUCACCGGAUGACUUCUCCCUUUACAACCCAGCAGGGGCAGUACCUUCUUGUCCAGCUUCUUUAUGCUUUUCCCUCCAGUUGUUUACCUCAUAGGGUUUUACGCUUCCUGUCCCUCCAGUUCCGCUGAGAGACAGCAGGCCAGCAGACAGCCCACUUCUCUCUGUUGCCCCGCCCACUUCUCUCUGUCGCCCCGCCCACUUCUCUCCGCCGCCCCGCCCACUUCUCUUCGUCACCCCGCCCUCCAGAAGAGCACCCAGGUCCACGACAGAACUAAGUGUCAUGUGCUUCUUGGUUCCUCCUCCCUCUUCUCUUGAUGUUUGUCUUUGUCCCAGAUGUGACAGUUGCAUGAUAAAGCAGGGCAAUUCUACCAUUAAGCAGGCUUCUGGGAGGCAGGGGGUUUGGGGCUCUGGAGUUCUAAGCCCCAGCCCAAACUUAGCCAGGACUCUCAUUUUCAAAGGCAAUCUCAAGAUGAAUA